UUUGGCAAUGGUAGAACUCACACU
rnacentral:ncRNA from 41 species